rnacentral:rRNA from 1 species
UUAUCGGAGAGUUUGAUCCUGGCUCAGGACGAACGCUGGCGGCGUGCCUAAUACAUGCAAGUCGAGCGGACAGAUGGGAGCUUGCUCCCUGAUGUUAGCGGCGGACGGGUGAGUAACACGUGGGUAACCUGCCUGUAAGACUGGGAUAACUCCGGGAAACCGGGGCUAAUACCG